ensembl:lncRNA
AUGUUUUCAAUAAUUGGCUUGCCUUUAUGUAACAUGAGUGAAAUGGUUGUACUCAGACUCCUUCUUUUUGUGUUUCUUUGCACAGCUUCAUUAGCUUGCAUUGGCUUUUUAUCUCCACCCGACAGUUUAAGCUCCAUUCAUUACUUCAGCAUUAAAGUUGGAUUUUCAGGAACAAAGAAAAGGGUUGUAACAUCUAACUUUUCAGGUAGAAUUCAUCAUAUGUUGGUCAAUUUAAACACUUUUUUACUUUGCAUAUGUCCGUUUCUCAACUAUUGCAGUUGCUACACCUGUCAAUCAACUCCUACACCUUCCUCACACGACCCGUAAGGCAGUAAUUCCAAGGCUCAUUGACCUCCCCGGCCUAGAAAAAGUUGCUAAACUAUGGCCUGUGGGAGUGGGUUUGCUGAAUGUCAAAUUCUCUAACAUAUUAAUUUGACGCCAGUGUUGCCCAGCUCCGCAACAGCGGAACCUGAUCCAAAAUAAGCACUGACUGCCCAGGCUUGCCAAUAACAGCAUUCAAAUAAAUACCCACACGACUAAAAACCCUUGACGGCAUUUUAAUUGCACUGUUAAAUGACUUCCUAAUUGUACUGCAGGCGGUGAGAACUCGCAGCACAAAGUUCAAAUGAGGGCAGCUGCUUUAAAUUGGUCAGAUGUGUUAUUUCUUCGAGAACAUCAUCAGACAGGUAAUGAUGUUAACUUAUCAGCUUAUUCACCAGCUUGGGGGCGUUCUCCUGGUACGGGAUGGUGACUCCGGGGGAGGGAGGGGGGGUUUAUGGUUUGACAGGAAGCCAACGACAUGUCUCAUCAGACUCUUCAGUCACACUGAGAGAAGACGCUCACACCCUUUCGGUCCAACUGAUUCUUGCCUCGUGGUUCCAUCACCUGGAGUGCCAGAGGGCCGGCGGCUCGGGAGCCAUCUACACAGGAAGCCGAGAGGUAAGUGAAGGCAAGGGUUGGAAGACGGAGGGCGCUCAGCGGACGAAUGGAACAUGAAUACAUUAAACACAUUUGAAUGCGUUAUUCUCUGCGAAACCGAUUGCCUGGGUUGGGUGGAUUUCAUUCCAGCCACAUGCCUCCAGGAUGUACUGGGUGUUCUCUUUUUUAACUCACAUCUUUCCAUUUUUUCUUGCAUGCUGAACAUUUUGCGAUAAUGGAGGAACUGGGUCAAAACGGCCCUCUCUGAUUCCAGUCACAUCAUUUUCACCGGAGGGAACUCCGAACUUUUAAAGCAUUUGCAUUUGGGUGAUGGAAAGACAGAAGUUUUAAUUCAGUGAGUGAACUUUGGUGACCACUGUUUUCCUGCAGGAUAUGAAAGGAUUUAGUGUUUGACCACUUAGAGCUAACAGCUGUGGGAAUAGAGGGAGGUGGGAAUAGUUGUACAGAUUACUUCUGCCCCAAAACCCAUUGCCUUGAGGACAUGUUAUCUAAUCCAAAAUCUCACGAUUGCUGCAAAAGUCGGCUGUACUCAACACAGAACAGAAAUAACAGAAAUACACACAAACUGCUGGUUCAAUAUGAGAACAGGGAUGCCCCAAAGUAAUUUUGUUAGAAUGACCCACACUGUAGCACAUGAAUAAUGUACAAAAGCCAUAAAAUGGCACAAAAGGAAAGAACUUUAAUGGUUUUACCUCGCCUCAUACAAACUAUCCCAAGAGAAGUCACAUUACAAAAAAAAUCAUAUGGAGACAGCCGGCAACCCAAGCAAUAAAAGCCACAAUAAACUUGCUGACUGCAGAAAAUAUGACUCUCAUCUCACCAUUCUGUUUAAGUGCUGCUGAAAAGCACUGAACUGUAGACUGGCUGAAGUGUCAAGCAACUCGAUAGUCAAUGCGGAAUCGGUUUUUAAAGAAGGUUUUCACACAAAAAAAUCCCAGAAAUGGGACGCAGGAGUGGGGGGGGGUGAGUGGAUGUGUGAAAGAAGGAGUAGGAUUGACAAUGACAGAUCAUAGGAGGGGGGGCAGCGAGACAUCGGCACUGGGAAUGAGCCUGUCUAACUGAGUGAAGACUGUAGGCAGCUAUUUGGACAGCAUCCACACACCUGGAGUUGUUAUCAGGUCGCGGCGAGUGGGGCUUUCAGGGGGCCGUGAAUGGGAAGCCGGAGCUCAGCACUAACAGGCAUUCUGAGGCUCUUUUCCACUGAUGAUGGCGCUUUAAAGCAGGUCAAGCUGACAGGGCAGCCGCCAGGACCCCUGUGAUCGCUCCUCUUCAAGGAAACUUGAGAGAAGGAAGGGAGGACUGUACCUUUUAACCGCUAACGCAGCGCCUUCGAGCCACAUCACACACACACACACACACACACACACACCAGGAAAGAGAACAGUUUAUUGCAGCUAUAGUGAUACAUCAUGCAAGCAAUCAGUAUUACACUGUAUAGAGACAACUACAGUGAAUAGCUGUGCAAACAACCAGCUUUCUAGUUACAUCGACCACAUAACCAUGGAGCGUGGCUACAAAAGGUUACUCACGCCGCCAAAAAGAAGGACACAUUUUAUAAGGUGUCAUGAGAAUUCGACUGCAUUUCUCAGACUAACGGUAAAACAAAACAAAAUGAAUUAAUGAAUGAAUUUUCACUCACAUCCCUUUUCAUUUGCAGCUUUUAUUUUAAAAAUUCUACAAAAAUAUCAAACAGUCAUUGCUGGCUGACUACCAAUAUGUUGCUAUUCACUAAACUAACCUGAGAAUAACCGGAAACACAAAAGGCAAACCAUGGAAAGAAUAAAGGGAAAAUAAAAUGUAGGAGCGAAUAUAGAAGCAAGAAAAAAAAACAUUGUCACGUCAUGUUGUGCAGUCGGGUGCCAGUUUCCUCAACUUUAGGCAACUAUUCCCAAUGUGCUGAGGAAUAAUUACGCGUCUGCAUUCUGAUAAUUGUGAAGUGUCACAGAGAACAAAUAUAAGUUGCAAAGGUGAGUUAAAUUUACAUUUCUGCAUUGUUUUUACACAAGUAAGUAAAAGACAAAAAAUUGACUUUUUGGACUGUGUGCUUUAAAAUAUGCAAUCAUCAAAAGCAUCAUACUUAACUAAGGCCUAAAAAGUGAACCUGUCCUGUUAGAAUGUUAGAAUAUUUGAUUUAACUAAAAGUUGUUUCACCAGAAAAAAUUGAAAGAAAAAACAGAGAUUCCAGCUAAAAAGGCACCAGGCACAAUGGAAGCCUGGCAGUCAUUCAUUCAUCUUUAGCUCGGGCUGAGCGUAGCUGGAGGGGGAGACAGAAGCCGGAAGGGGAGAAGAAGGAAGAUAUUUUUCCUCUGAAUAUUUGUCCUUGGUUCUGUCAGUCAGUGCUGAUCCAGCCCUUUUUUCCCCGAGCUCAUUCCUCUUCUAUUCCCUCUGAAAUGCUAAUAUGGCAACUUAGUGCGCCAGCGUCAGCCUUUCUCAGCCUUUGCCUGACGCCUCACAUCAUUACAUCUUCUGGAUGAGACCUUCCUCCCUCUCUCUCUCUCUCUCUCUCUCUCUCUCUCUCUCUCUCUCUCUCCCUCUCUUGUUCUAUUCCAAUGUCUUCUCUUCUGCACUAAAGCAGAGCUUGUUUAAAAUAUCUACCAGCUAAGGGAGAAGGUCAGCAGUUCGUACACAUUUCGCAUCCAAGAUGAGGGAAUGAAAACAACAGCCACAUUUUUUUUUUUUUAAACGCUGCUCGUUAUCACAUUUUGCCAUCACCACGCAGGUACAUUUUUUUGUUCUAUAAAGAGCCAAUGUCAAGCACCUUCAUUCGCCUUGCGUGUGGAUGAAAGGUAUAAUUUAAGCUUCCUCGAGACGCUCCUUGGCGAGUUCAUCAAGUGGUGUCCCUGAAUCCCCGGAGUGCUCACUGGAAUACAAGAGAGACUUGUGGCGCCGCAUUAACAUCCUCUGGGCUGACAAAUUAAGCUGCGUGGUCAUUCAAUAAAAAUAAAUGUGCUGUUAAACAUGGUGUUAUAGAUAUAACGUAAAUGAUGUUAUAAAGAGAAAAAGAUAAAGUGAAAGACAAUCUGCAACAGGCGGGGCCGAUCUGACCGACCCGAAGAGCUCUGAAAAUGACACUUUGCGUGGCGAUUGCGGCGUGCUGUGACUGCACUCCAUCAGGUCGGCUCUUUGCUUGGCUGAGUCCUUCCCCAGUAUCUAUUCUAAUAAGCGGGAGAGUUAAUCGAGAGCAUAGACCAACACAGCUCCCCCCCCCCACACCCCCCCUGGGAGCAGCCAGGCAGUGCUGCUGACUGCGGCGCUGACAGCCAGAGAGCAUUAAGCACAGCGUUACUGCCGCCCGGUGCAGGCGCUCAGUCAACCAUGACGGUGUCGUUUCUUUUAAUAGGGCCUCUUUCUCUUUCCCUCUCUUUAAGUCUGUUGCCUUCUCUCUCUUCUUCUUCUUCUUCUCUCAGCUAUAGUUCCUUUCUCCUCGGGCGCGCUGCCGGCCUUGAACCCUUCCCAGCCUCC